AAAACUUUAAAAUAUUAUGGAAAGAGAAGAUUGAGAGAAUUAAUUCUCAAGCCUUGGGUUCUGUGUUUAUAUUUAUUUCCUUUUCCUUUUACUCCAAAAGAAGAAAAAGAAUAUAUAUAUUCCGUAAUAGAUUGAUUUAAGAGUACUUGAUAGGUAAUUUUAAUUGUCAAAAUAUUUAAUUAGGGUUAAGUCAUAAUUAGUAUUAUUUUGUUUACGAGGCACUGCAAUAGAUGUUUCUUUUCUUCUCCCCAUGAGAAAACUUUUGUAAGUUUUCUUUUCUUCCUCGCGAAACCCUAAAUAAAAAAUUGGGUUCCUUUUCUUUCACACCCUAAGCAGAAGCUUUGAGCUUCUUUUUCUCGCGGACCACCCAGCCUUGGGGAAGGACAACUACGGUGCGGCAACGGCGCAGUGAUGACAGAUCGACAGUUCGACGAGAGCGUCGUCGACGGUGUAGUAAUGGCGCGAUUGAAGCAGAACCCUUCUUCCCUUUAUCCUUUUCGAGUUUUAGCGCUUCCUCACAGGCAGAGAAAGUCUAGGUUCAGUGGGAAUGGCGUGGUGGAGGUUUACUACUCCCCUUUGUUCUGAAUCGCGUCGCAAGAGGGAGGCUUCCUUCUCCCUUCCGUUUCUGCUUCGUCUUACAAAGGAAAUAGAUUCUGGCGUUCUACGAAGUGAGGUUAUUGUUCGUUCUCGUUUUCGCGGGGAAGAAGACCAGGGUUUGCGGUUAACGGCGUGGUUGUCUUGCCUCCAACGAGUUCACGACACAAGGGUUUGAUUUGUGGAAAUUGUGAGGUUUCUGUCUUUGCGGUGCAGGUCUUAGCUUCGCUAAUUUUAGGAUUUUUGGUUGUUCUUCAAUUUUGGGGGUUUCUGUUGUGUUGAACUGAUGAUUUGCUUCUUUCUACGAUUUGAGACGAAAGGUUCCAUUCAAAUUGAAUUGGGGUUUUCUGUUAUGGUAUUUUAAUCUCGUAAUUUCAGUUAAGAUAAAUGGUUGGGAUAUGGGUUCCGUCUCUGAUUUGGGGUUCCUAAUAUAAUUUUGGGUUGCUCUCUGGUGGCUCAAGUGGUGGCCUGGGAGACGCUGAUGGUGGUGGUCGUGGAUGUCAAGGUGGCCGGCGUUGACAACUUCAUUCUGAUUGGGCUGAAAAAUCUGGAUUGUCCCAGUGGGAACCUAGUUGGGCCGCAGGUCCAGAGUUGAUCUGAAAUAAAAUUAUUAUCUGUAACAACAAGAAAGUUUAUUUGGGUCUGGUUUUUGGUGUGUAGGAUUCGUAGUUAUCAGAUAUUAAUUAAAGAAGUUAAAUUGUAAAGAGAGAAGGUGAUAUCUGAUAUUGAGUAAUAAAUUGUAAAUUGUAAAGUGAGAAGAAAACGGUAAUAAUAUUAAUUAUUAUUAUUAUUGAGAGAAAUUUAUUNUUUAGUAAUUAAUUGGAAACAAAUUAAUUAUUGAGAAAUUAAUUUGGAAGUAAAAAGGAAAGUAAUGUAGAAUUCGUGACAAUGUGAUAUUAAGUAAUAAAGUUGAAGUAAUGAAAUUUUAAAUAUAUUCGGAAAUCGAAAUUGGAAAAUAAAAAUGAUAAUAAAGAAAAAGAUUAUCUUUCUGAAAUUAAUAUAAUGGGAAUU
rnacentral:lncRNA from 1 species